rnacentral:rRNA from 1 species
AUUGAACGCUGGCGGCAUGCCUUACACAUGCAAGUCGAACGGCAGCACGGGCUUCGGUCUGGUGGCGAGUGGCGAACGGGUGAGUAAUAUAUCGGAACGUACCUUUCAGUGGGGGAUAACGUAGCGAAAGUUACGCUAAUACCGCAUAUUCUGUGAGCAGGAAAGCAGGGGAUCGCAAGACCUUGCGCUGAUUGAGCGGCCGAUAUCAGAUUAGCUAGUUGGUGAGGUAAAGGCUCACCAAGGCGACGAUCUGUAGCGGGUCUGAGAGGAUGAUCCGCCACACUGGAACUGAGACACGGUCCAGACUCCUACGGGAGGCAGCAGUGGGGAAUUUUGGACAAUGGGCGCAAGCCUGAUCCAGCCAUGCCGCGUGAGUGAAGAAGGCCUCGG